UCAGCUCGUGUCGUGAGAUGUUGGGUUAAGUCCGCAACGAGCGCAACCCUUAUCCCUAGUUGCCAUCAGGUAAAGCUGGGAACUCUGGGGAGGACUGCCGGUGAUAAACCGGAGGAAGGCGGGGAUGACGUCAAGUCCCCAUGGCCCUUACAUCCCGGGCUACACACGUGCUACAAUGGCAGGUACAGAGGGCUGCGAAGCCGCGAGGUGGAGCGAAUCCCAGAAAACCUGUCUCAGUCCGGAUUGAAGUCUGCAACUCGACUUCAUGAAGGCGGAAUCGCUAGUAACCGCGAAUCAGCAGGUCGCGGUGAAUACGUUCCCGGGCCUU
rnacentral:rRNA from 1 species